rnacentral:rRNA from 1 species
AUGCAUGUCUAAGUAUAAGCAAUCUAUACGGUGAAACUGCGAAUGGCUCAUUAAAUCAGUUAUCGUUUAUUUGAUAGUACCUUACUACUUGGAUAACCGUGGUAAUUCUAGAGCUAAUACAUGCUAAAAACCCCGACUUACGGAGGGGUGUAUUUAUUAGAUAAAAAACCAAUGCCCUUCGGGGCUCCUUGGUGAUUCAUAAUAACUUAACGAAUCGCAUGGCCUUGUGCCGGCGAUGGUUCAUUCAAAUUUCUGCCCUAUCAACUUUCGAUUGUAAGGUCUUGGCUUACAAUGGUUUCAACGGGUAACGGAGAAUUAGGGUUCGAUUCCGGAGAGGGAGCCUGAGAAACGGCUACCACAUCCAAGGAAGGCAGCAGGCGCGCAAAUUACCCAAUCCCGACACGGGGAAGUAGUGACAAUAA